rnacentral:misc_RNA from 2 species
UCUCCGUUGGUGAACCAGCGGAGGGAUCAUUACCGAGUUUACAACUCCCAAACCCCUGUGAACAUACCUUAAUGUUGCCUCGGCGGAUCAGCCCGCGCCCCGUAAAACGGGACGGCCCGCCAGAGGACCCAAACUCUAAUGUUUCUUAUUGUAACUUCUGAGUAAAACAAACAAAUAAAUCAAAACUUUCAACAACGGAUCUCUUGGUUCUG